UGCCGCAGCCAGGGCCUCACGCCUUCCCUGAGUGCCGCCGCCUCGUGCUCUAACAAACGUCCCGUGCCGCAGCCAGGGCCUCACGCCUUCCCUGAGUGCCGCCGCCUCGUGCUUGUCCUGUCCUUGUGAGGCCACAGUGCCCAGAGGGCAAAUCGCACAGCUGUGGUGCUACUGCCGCCAGGCAUUCUUGGUCUCCUGUUGCUUCUGGGGCCUGGAUUGCCUCCAGUCAGCAAGGAUUGUUCCCAAACGUCAUCCCCUGGCUCUGGAACUCGAUGAAGUUGUGUUCCUUGAAGUCCAGGACAGGAAAAACCAUUUAAGUGGGCCCCGUGAUGUCAGAAGCUUUGGUGUUUGAGCAGCCAAAGCCAAGAGGCUCUUGCCCCGGAGGUCUGCAGUGGAGGGCCCUGGUCCUGCCCACGCUGUGGGGAGGCUAGUACUUGAGAAGCACUUAUGGAGCACUUUCGCUGCUCAAGAAAUUCUAGGAAGAACAAGCUGCCUAGCUGCUCAUUUCAGAGGCCAGAGAUACUCUCUGGCAGUGGCACAAGAGGAGGACAACAAACAGGACAAUACCUUCAGUUGAUGAUUUUCAGGUAGACCUUAGAGCUGAAAUAGAAAAUGGGAUGAUUGUGUUGUUGGAAAUUUCCAUUUGAGAUGUACGAUUCAUAGCAAAUUCCCUUGGGGCCCACAAGUGGAGUGAAACAGUGCUGAGAUUAAGGCUGGCAAAUUUGCCUCUGUUUUGAAGUCUUUGCACUUUUUAUCAAACAGUUUCAUUAUGAUGGUCUGAAGAAAACACUAUAUAGUAGAGCUUUCUUACCUUCCCUUUUAAGUCCUCUAGAGUGAGGACAAACUGAAUUGUAUCUUAGAUUCAGCUUUUUUAUAUACUUUGCUGUUAAAAAGAUCAAAUACAGAUUUCCAGGACUAUAAAUCAGCACAACUCCCCAGCAGCCAGUGGUGACAUAAAUCAAGUAGCAGAGAGGAGAUGUGGGAGAAAUG